AGAUGGCGACCGGCGCACGGGUGAGUGACACGUAUCCAACCUGCCGAUAACUCCGGAAUAGCCUUUCGAAAGAAAGAUUAAUACCGGAUGGCAUACGAAUAUCGCAUGAUAUUUUUAUUAAAGAAUUUCGGUUAUCGAUGGGGAUGCGUUCCAUUAGUUUGUUGGCGGGGUAACGGCCCACCAAGACUACGAUGGAUAGGGGUUCUGAGAGGAAGGUCCCCCACAUUGGAACUGAGACACGGUCCAA
rnacentral:rRNA from 1 species